rnacentral:rRNA from 1 species
UACAGGGGGUGCAAGCGUUAAUCGGAAUUACUGGGCGUAAAGCGUGCGUAGACGGUUACAUAAGUCAGGUGUGAAAGCCCCGGGCUCAACCUGGGAAUUGCAUUUGAGACUGUGUAGCUAGGGUGCGGAAGAGGGAAGCGGAAUUCCCAGUGUAGAGGUGAAAUUCGUAGAUAUUGGGAAGAACACCGAUGGCGAAGGCAGCCAUCUGGACCGACACUGACGCUGAGGCGCGAAAGCGUGGGGAGCGAACAGG